CUGUGCACUCCAUUUGCAUUUAAGGUUUUCUACUCGAUACAUUACUCUUUUUGUCUUGCUUGUCCACCUUUUUAUUAAGUAUUUAUCAAUCUGAAUCUCGAUACAAAAUUUAAAGAAAUGACACUUCCGGUAAAUAAUGGAUAAAACCUAAUCGACGAUCCCGGGUCAAUGGACAAAGCCAAUGCAAUGUUACGCGACUCUGGUUCGCAUACUUAUUUUAAUUUAUUUUGGUAAUCGAUCUAUUUCCGGUUACAUGUAACAUUUAUCGUCAUGAACAUUGAUGUUUAUACUUGCUGGACAUUGGUUUCUUUCACAUAAAUUAAACAUCUUUAUACGUUUUGAAAUUAAUUUUAUGUUUUGUUGGACUUGAACUUUGUCUUGUAUAUUUUUUUACUUGUCCACGGGCAACCAAGACAAAAAAAUUACUUGUCCGGUUGUUCAAAU
rnacentral:lncRNA from 1 species